AGCUAUUGCUAUGUAUCUGGCCAUGUAAUACUGAAAAUACUCUAAGAGAGGCUUGGAAGAACGCUGUCACCUGGAGUAACUCUGCAGAGCCAGACAAAAGUAUUAUGUGACACGACAGAGCCAGGCACCUUGGUGAAGAGAGCUGGAAAUGAAAAACAGCAGGCCAGUUAAUACAGUGACUUGAAAAGGCAAAGGACUGGGCUUUCUACAGGCAUGUGGACGGAGAAGCAGCAGAUGGAUGCUAGUUGUAAAAGAGUGGGAGUGAAAUAGCUCUAGAUGAAUAUACACACCGCUUCAGCCUUCCAAGAAUUAAUGAGAGAAGACCAGCAAGGACUGGACAUCCCCAGUGCAGCCAAGGGAGGGAGCAUGCGCAG